UGCCCCAUGGCUAAGUUGGUUACAGCGUCCGACUGUUAAUCGGAAGGUCGUGAGUUCAAUCCUCACUGGGGCAG
rnacentral:tRNA from 1 species